GUAACUUGCAAGGAGAGAUGUGGUCCAUCUGUUUCUGUUUCCCUAGUGAGAUUAGCUGGUAAGCAUAAUGAAGAAAGGAAGUCUAUUAGUUUGACAGAGCAGAGUGAUGAAUUUCUCUUUCCGAAUGUCUUACCUGGAAAAUACAGGCUUGAGGUCAAACAUGGUUCCCCUGAAGCCAUGCACAGUGAAGAUAAUUGGUGCUGGGA
rnacentral:misc_RNA from 1 species